UACGUAGGGGGCAAGCGUUGUCCGGAAUCAUUGGGCGUAAAGAGCGUGUAGGCGGUCCGGUAAGUCCGUUGUGAAAGUCAAGGGCUCAACCUUGAAUGCCGGCGGAUACUGUCGGGCUAGAGUCCGGAAGAGGCGAGUGGAAUUCCUGGUGUAGCGGUGAAAUGCGCAGAUAUCAGGAGGAACACCAAUGGCGAAGGCAGCUCGCUGGGACGGUACUGACGCUGAGACGCGAAAGCGUGGGGAGCAAACAGG
rnacentral:rRNA from 1 species